rnacentral:rRNA from 1 species
UACGUAGGGAGCGAGCGUUGUCCGGAAUCAUUGGGCGUAAAGGGUGCGUAGGCGGCGCGGUAAGUCGGGUGUGAAAUCUCGGAGCUUAACUCCGAAACUGCAUUCGAUACUGCCGUGCUUGAGGACUGGAGAGGAGACUGGAAUUUACGGUGUAGCGGUGAAAUGCGUAGAUAUCGUAAGGAAGACCAGUGGCGAAGGCGGGUCUCUGGACAGUUCCUGACGCUGAGGCACGAAGGUCAGGGGAGCAAACGGG